rnacentral:tRNA from 1 species
AGGAAUUUAGGUUAAUUUAGACCAAGAGCCUUCAAAGCCCUAAGCAAGUACCGCUACUUAAUUCCUG